GAGUUGUUUCCAACAAUCAAAACCACCCUCCAAGGUUGAAGAUUUGCCACCAAUGAGGCUAUUUAAAGUCAUGUGCAACAGUUCUGCUGGCAGUUACCAGAGUGGGAGCUGAGGAGGGGGUCCAAACAAUGUGCCUGGCAUUCUGUAAGUUCUUGAGGACACAAAGAUGGGUAAUGUGCCAACAUCAUAACAAGGUUCAAGGGAGGCACAUCUCAUACGAGUGUGAAAAGGCAAUCAUCAUGCUUCUGAACUACAAGAUUAUCCUAUAUAUUUAUUUUCAAUUAUUUUAUCCUCCUCUGCCUCUUGCCCUGGACUAUAUAAGACCUGCAAUAUAAUGUUGAAUAAGGAAGGUGAAAACGAACAUCAUUGCAUCACUCCUGAUAUCAAA